rnacentral:rRNA from 1 species
UACGUAGGGGGCAAGCGUUGUCCGGAUUUAUUGGGCGUAAAGAGCGUGUAGGCGGCCAGACAGGUCCGUUGUGAAAACUCGAGGCUCAACCUCGAGACGCCGAUGGGAACCGUUUGGCUAGAGUCCGGAAGAGGAGAGUGGAAUUCCUGGUGUAGCGGUGAAAUGCGCAGAUAUCAGGAGGAACACCAGUGGCGAAGGCGGCGCUCUGGGCCGGAACUGACGCUGAGGAGCGAAAGCGUGGGUAGCAAACAGG